CGCAGUUUCCCCAUUUCUCUCCUCGCUCUCACCCACGACCAGCCAAAAUCCUCACCCAAUCCCUCGAAUCUCUCAGCCCCGCGCAGGUGCGGGCGGCGUGAGAGCCGCCGACGAAGCAAAUCGUCGAACGCGGCGAAGGAUCGAACGACAGUUCGUCGGGGCGAGGGACGGAGAAGGUAGCGACGACGGGGCAGAGUGGCCGGUGGAGUUGGUGGUCAGCGCGAGGCGGUGUGGAUCCCUCCAGAGAGUUUUGCAGAUCCUGCUGCUGCGACGGGGCGGAGUGGUCAGUUAACCCCCCUCUCCCUCUCUUAUCUCACUAGUUUGAGUGUUCGUCGCCGACGCCGUCGUUGAUAUCAAACACCGCCGCGAGGGGGGGGGGGCAGAUCGGACGGAGAGCGGAGUGCGGGUACGGGGAGCGAGGGAGGUAGAGAGGACGUCAUGAGUUUGAGCUCAGCUCAGGCGCUGUUAGGAGAGGUAGGAGGGGGGGGGAGGGCUGGCGAGAUGAGGAAGGAGAGGCCCUCCACCCGAUUUUGUGUGCAUUUUUCUGCUCGUCAAGUCAGAUCCUGUUUUUUUCAAUAAGCAAUUUCUGUAAGUUUUGUAGGCAAUUUUAUCUGCCCCAACCCCUCUCAUGUAAGCAAUAUUUUAAGCCCUCAUGUUUAGCUAGAAAACUGAAUAUCCAAGCCAUAUUAAGAGGCUCUAUUGUGUGAAGCAUUAAAAAGGAGAGGGCAAGUACUUCACAUGAAAAGGAGAGGGCAAGAUAGUUCUAAGUGAGAUGGAAGAAUAGAAGCCUGAAGACAUUGCAGACUUGUAGACUACAUAGGGGGGAGAACUGAAAGGAGUUUCAAGCUGCAAGGCAGACUUGCAGACUUGCAGACCAGGGGUAGUUCAAGCUGCAAGGCAGACUUGCAGACUUGUAGACCACCCACGUCUUUUAUCCCCAUCUGAAAGGAGAAGGAUAGUUGCAGACUUUGCAGACCAGGGGGUAUUUUCAAGCUGCAGCAAGAGGCGGGGUUAGAGUCAGGAAGGGACCACAUAGGGGGGGAGAACUUCACCCUGAUGCAGGCAGCUCCCGCGGGACAUAUUUACAUGGAGGAAGCGCUCAUUAACCGUGGGGGAGACGCUGCUCUCGACCAUGAUGCGGCGGAAGCUUCGCCGUCCGUCUAGGUCGUCGUCCGCUCGGUUUGGCUGUGGGUUCCUCUAUUAGUCAUGUUAGCAAGAUUUUUUUCAGUCGCUGUUAGCCUAUGCUGCGAUGGCCAUACCGUUUUCGGCUGUCCUGGGCAUGAUGGUUUGCUUUUCCCAGUGUGUAUGGAGCUUGGGGGAUUUUGUGUGGUGCUCUCAUUAAGCUGUCAUGUUCGCUACCUUUUCGUGUGAGGUGUUCUGUUUUAGUUUCACAAUGUUAUGCCAGAACAUUAACUUCUUAAAGCUGAAAGUAUAAGGGGCCUCAACUGUGCCAACUGCCGGUCUACCAUGAAUGAAAUCAUUUCAGCAACUUCCUUAACCAACAUUCUUUUUUGCUUCUUUGUGCAGGCAAUUCAGGA
rnacentral:lncRNA from 1 species